rnacentral:rRNA from 1 species
AUUGAACGCUGGCGGCAGGCCUAACACAUGCAAGUCGAACGAGUGGCGGACGGGUGAGUAAUGUCUGGGAAACUGCCUUAUGGAGGGGGAUAACUACUGGAAACGGUAGCUAAUACCGCAUACCAUUAUAUGUGCCCAGAUGGGAUUAGCGUGUGUGGGGGGUACAGUCUCACCAAGGCAGCGAUCCCUAGCUGGGUUGAGAGGAGGACAAGCCACACUGGAACUGAGAAACGGUCCAGACGCCUACGGGAGGCAGCAGUGGGGAAUAUUGAACAAGGGGGGCAAUCCUGAUGAAGCCAUGCCGCGUGUAUUAAGAAGGCCUUCGGGUUGUAAAGUACUUUCAGCGGGGAGGCGUUACCCGCAGAAGAAGCACCGGCUAACUACGUGCCAGCAGCCGCGGUAAUAC